rnacentral:tRNA from 1 species
UUUAGCUUAGUGUAGAGCGUCUGCUUCGUAAGCAGAAGGUCGUCAGUUCAAUCCUGGCAAGUGGCU